GGAGGGUUGGCAGAUCGGUUAUGCACCCGGCUGCAGACCGGGAGAACUGGGUUCAAUUCCCAGGCCCUCCUCCA
rnacentral:tRNA from 1 species